UACGUAGGGGGCUAGCGUUGUCCGGAAUCAUUGGGCGUAAAGCGCGUGUAGGCGGUCCGGUAAGUCCGCUGUGAAAGUCGGGGGCUCAACCCUCGGAUGCCGGUGGAUACUGUCGGGCUUGAGUACGGAAGAGGCGAGUGGAAUUCCUGGUGUAGCGGUGAAAUGCGCAGAUAUCAGGAGGAACACCAAUUGCGAAGGCAGCUCGCUGGGACGUAACUGACGCUGAGACGCGAAAGCGUAGGGAGCAAACAGG
rnacentral:rRNA from 1 species